AUGCAAGUCGAGCGGGGGAAGGUAGCUUGCUACCGGACCUAGCGGCGGACGGGUGAGUAAUGCUUAGGAAUCUGCCUAUUAGUGGGGGACAACAUCUCGAAAGGGAUGCUAAUACCGCAUACGUCCUACGGGAGAAAGCAGGGGAUCUUCGGACCUUGCGCUAAUAGAUGAGCCUAAGUCGGAUUAGCUAGUUGGUGGGGUAAAGGCCUACCAAGGCGACGAUCUGUAGCGGGUCUGAGAGGAUGAUCCGCCACACUGGGACUGAGACACGGCCCAGACUCCUACGGGAGGCAGCAGUGGGGAAUAUUGGACAAUGGGGGGAACCCUGAUCCAGCCAUGCCGCGUGUGUGAAGAAGGCCUUAUGGUUGUAAAGCACUUUAAGCGAGGAGGAGGCUACUUUAGUUAAUACCUAGAGAUAGUGGACGUUACUCGCAGAAUAAGCACCGGCUAACUCUGUGC
rnacentral:rRNA from 1 species